GGUGAGAUGGCCGAGAGGAUUAAGGCGCUCCCCUGCUAAGGGAGUAUGCAGAAAAAAUCUGCAUCGAGGGUUCGAAUCCCUCUCUCACCGCCA
rnacentral:tRNA from 1 species